CUGCGCAGAGCUGCUGUCCCCACCAUUCUACGCUUCUUUCAUGCACACAUAGCAAACAGCAAAUGCACACAUAAGCUUGACCUCUGCAUGCUGCGCAGUUGACGUUCUAUUGGAGGAUGUUUUGUAUCUUCAAGAGCAGCUUUCCAGCCUCGAUUUGCCAUGUCAAGGAUCAAGUAAGCAAGGCUGCAGCCGUCUGAAUAGUUGAGCUAGAAACGAAUAUUUUGAAAAAUUACGAACCCUAAAACGAAAAUGCUAAACGUAUCAAGUGCCUCUAUUCUCUAUUUAAUUUAAAUUGCAUUUGAAUUCAAGUGUCAUCAACAAAGAAACUUGAUAGGCUUCGCCUACUCGUGUUAACCAAUAAUCAAUUUAUAUAACUGCCGAACAUACGCACACUUGGCUUAAAUGAAAUGUUAAUCACUUAAUGGAGUCCACUAAACAAUUUAAAUAAACAUUUUUCAGUCACAGCUUAAUUAGUCCUGCUACCAUCUAACGGAAAAGAAUUCACGCCCUGGGGCAAAAGAAACAAAACUGAAAUUAAGUAUACGCAGCGUAUCCAAGCCAACGGCAUUUGAUUAAGCACCAUGCGCUAUAAAUACACGUAGUACACAUCGAAUGCUGUCGAAAAUAUUUUCGUAGAAACACGAAUUUGCCACGGGGCAGCUAGUCAGCCAGUGGGCGGAACAGCGAGUGGGAGUGGCAGUGGCAGUGGCAGACAAGACAGGCAACAACACGAACAAACAGAAGUGAAAUGCGAAAGUCUUAGGGAACUCAACGCGAUUUGUUUGCUCGAAGCUUAAUUUGUAGCGGCAAAUGGUGUUGAUUGUUGUUUUUCUUACAUCUUCGCCAAGGCACACCACAGCUCACAGUAACAGCCGCCCAACCACCCAGCCAACCAGCCCCUCGGUGGUGCUUGGCAUCGUUGUGCAGCACAGCUAAAGACCAAUAAAAGUUAAAGGCGCUACAGUGGAUAAACACGAUUUGGAGUAUUGUUUCGAGUGCUUCGCCGGCUUCUUCGAUGCUCUCCGUCUGCAAAUUAAUGAUCAGCAAUGCGAAGCUGUAAAUGCUUAACCAUGAGCGCCACGACGAAAGUAGCGCAAAAAGAAGCAGCUGUUGCUACAUUGGAAAUCUUUGCUCAUUGUGACUUGGCUAAUGGCUAAUGCAUAUUGAGACUUGGUUCGUAGACAAAUUUAAUGGCAAGUCAAAGGAGAUUGUUUUCCUGGUUUUACUCUGCUUUAAGCUGGAUUUGAGUAUAAUAAAGAGCAAUCAAUAAAAUGAGCUUAAUUUGAUUGAAAAUUUUAUGUCAUUUUUAUGGCGCAUAUAAGGCGCAAUCUGGAACACCAACUUUUACAAUUAUCACAAUCAAUAACUAUUAUUGUUUUGAAGACAUUUGCGCUAAUGAUAUCGCCAGUCCAUAAAGUAAUAUUUUUAGUUGUAAUGGUCUUUCGGCAAAAGCUUGUGGAAUUGUCCACACUCCAAGUGUGACAAUUCAAGCUA